rnacentral:lncRNA from 1 species
AUUGAAUAUAAGUUAGAGAUUUUUAUCUCAUGCUUAUCAUAUUGUAAAUAUUCUCAUUCCUAAAUUAGUUAUUUACUGAAUAUAGAGAUGUCUUCCAUUGCUGUAUAAACGCACGAUUGUAUGCUUCAAUAAAUCAAUGAGAAUAACUUCAUUCCAUAUCAAAGUCUAAAAUCUAUCAUGGUAUCAAGCAUUAGGUUUCCAAACUCCAUACCUUCUUCCUGCCAUGGCCGAAUUUGCCCCUGCUACGGAUGUUUCAUCUCCUUACUUCUUGUACUCAUCAGAUCAACCAAAUCAAUUUCUUAUCGAUACACCUCUCAAUGGUGAUAAUUACCCCGCUAAGCGCCGAGCAAUCGCCCAUGCAUUGAAUGCCAAGAACAAACUGGGCUUCGUUCUUUGCACCAUCACACGUCUUGUCAAUGACAUUGUCGUCGCGCUUCUUUGGAACCAUUGCUGUGACAUGAUAAUGUCAUGGCUCCUCCACUCAAUUGAUCAUUCUCUUACAGGCAGCCUCCUCUAUUGUGAUACACCGAACGAUCUAUGAUUGGAACUUGAUGUGAUUCCGAAUAGGCCACAAGCUAUACGGAGUUUGAAGUUUAGCAAGGAGAGAUCAGUUGCAAAUUUGAGCUUACUUAGAGUCAAUAAAGGUCGAACUAUCACUUGUACGGGAUACAACCAAAAUGUCGAAGCUUGCAAGCCAAGGACCAAGUCUCAUGAUGGGAUUAAGGCCAAAAUAAUUCGGAUUUGUUUGGUAUACGCAGCCACCGAAGAUGGCGAGUCGAACCACAAUGCGGUCACAUAUUGGAGAACCCAUGCGACCAUAUGGUGACAUUCAGAGACAAGCAAGCCACAAAUCAAACCGCAACCCAUAACCCUAUGUGGUCAUAUAGACCAAUCCCGGGACCAAGAAUUUCCUUUUUCGCAAAAUAGUUUAUUUUCACUAGAAUUCUUAUUUUUGGUAACUUUUCAUAUUUUAGGACUUUUAAUUACGUUUUAACAGUAUUUUAGGGUUAG